rnacentral:rRNA from 1 species
CCUACGGGAGGCAGCAGUGAGGAAUAUUGGUCAAUGGGCGAUAGCCUGAACCAGCCAAGUCGCGUGAGGGAAGACGGCCCUAUGGGUUGUAAACCUCUUUUGUCGGGGAGCAAGGUCGCUACGUGUAGCGAUUUGAGAGUACCCGAAGAAAAAGCAUCGGCGAACUCCGUUCCAGCAGCCGCGGUAAUACGGAGGAUGCGAGCGUUAUCCGGAUUUAAUGGGUUUAAAGGGUGCGCAGGGGGUCUGGUAAGUCAGUGGUCAAAGCCCGGGGGUUAAACCCGGCCCGGCGUUUGAAACUGGCAGUCGUGAGUUGGAGAGAGGUAUGCGGAAUGCGCGGUGUAGCGGUGAAAUGCAUAGAUAUCGCGCAGAACUCCGAUUGCGAAGGCAGCAUGCCGGCUCCACACUGACGCUGAGGCACGAAAGCGUGGGUAUCGAACAGGAUUAGAUACCCUAGUAGUC